AAUAAGACGAGGAGACCCUAUGGAGCUUUAAUUUAUUAAUGCAAAUAAAACCUCAAACAAGCCUACAGGUCCUAGCCUACUAUCCCUACAUUAAAAAUUUUGGUUGGGAUGACCUAGGAGCAUAGUUCAGCCUCCAAACAACCUAAACUAAGACCACAGUAGGCCAAACAAGUUUGGAUAGAUAGAUAGAUAGACAGAUAGAUAGAUAUCCAAUAAUUUUAUCAAUGGAAUAAGUUACCCUAGGGAUAACAGCUCAAUCCUAUUCUAGAGUUCAUAUCGACAAUAGAGUUUACAACCUCGGUGUUAGAUCAGGACAUCCUGAUGGUGUAGCCACUAUUAAGGGUUCGUUUGUUCAACGAUUAAAGUCCUGCAUGAUCUGAGUUCAGACUGGAGUAAUCCAGGUUGGUUUCUGUCUAUU
rnacentral:ncRNA from 1 species